AUUUUCCGCAAUCGACGCAAGUCGGACGGAGCAACGCCGCGUGCGGGAAGACGGCCCUCGGGUUGUAAACCGCUUUUGUGAGGGAAGAAGAUCUGACGGUACCCCCAAAGGAAGCACCGGCUAACUCUGUUCCAGCAGCCGCGGUAAUACAGAGGGUGCGAGCGUUGUCCGGAAUUACUGGGCGUAAAGGGCGCGUAGGCGGUUCGGUAAGUAGGGGGUGAAAUUCCACGGCUCAACCGUGGACCUGCCUUCUAGACUGUCGGACUUGAGCACGGUAGAGGCAGAUGGAAUUCCCGGUGUAGCGGUGGAAUGCGUAGAGAUCGGGAAGAACACCAGUGGCGAAGGCGGUCUGCUGGGCCGUUGCUGACGCUGAGGCGCGACAGCGUGGGGAGCAA
rnacentral:rRNA from 1 species